AUGGCUCUGUGCCACCCCAUGACUGGGGUCUCAGCAAGGGCCCAGGUAAUGAUGGGGUAAGGAGAAAGCCCAGGCUCAGUCGCCACCACCAUGGGCACCUCACCAAGAACACUGAGUUUGUGCAGACCUGGCCUGAAAGGGGUAUGGCUUUGCCCCAAACGAGCGGCAUGCCAUGGAGUUGCUUGAGGUUUCUAAGGACAACUGGGCCCUCAAGUUCAUCAAGAAAAGGGUGGGGACACACAUCUGUGCCAACAGGAAGCAGGAGGAGCUGAGCAACAUCCUGGCCGCCAAGAGGAAAGCAGCUGCCCACAAGGAA
rnacentral:lncRNA from 1 species